UGGCGCCAGGGUGGGGGGCAGAGGGCGUUGCCGCUGGGGCCUCAGCUGCUGGACCACCGGGUCCCUGCCCUGGAGCUGUCCCCUGUGGCCGAGUGACCCGGGGCGAGCAGGGCCCUCCUUGGCUUCCAACUCAGUCUCUCUGCAUGGGGUGGGAGCAGUCGCCGGAGGGUGCUCCGCUCUCACGCUCUGCACACGGCAGGUGCCCGCGUUCGCUUCCCAGACGGCCACAGCAACAGCGUCCCGGGAGGAGGCGGCCACGACUCAGCCGGCGUUGCCCUCAGGCCCCGCGGGGGUCGGGACACACCGUGAAGCCCUGACUCCCCCUGGUCUCUGGGGAGGUCGUGUUCUCGUGACCCCUGGGAAGGGCUGAGGCGCCCGGGCAGAGCUGCCGCCCCUGCCUUGACCCACCACUGCCGAGUCUGUGUCGGCCCUGUCGUGGGGGACCCGGCGGAGCCGUCACCGAGAUAUACCAUCUGUUUGCUCCUGCCCUCUGGCGUCACGCCCUGUGUGAGAGGACGCGACUGCCAGUGAGUGAGGCCUUCCCGUGCCCAGACCUGAGACCCCGAGGGGAACGUGCCAUUGCAGCGCAAAGUCCUCUGUGUCC